rnacentral:snRNA from 1 species
CUGCUCGCUUCGGCAGCAAUGUAUUGGAACGAUACAGAGAAGAUUAGCAUGGCCCCUGCGCAAGGAUGACACGGAAAUUCGUGAAGCGUUAUAAAAAAAA